CUUGGCAGCGUUACGUCACGUCAAACUAACUAACUCGUAAAAUAAAACCAGCUGAUUCAUUGCGCUGUGACAUUUGCCAUCAGUGUAACUUUUUGCGUUUGUUUUUCCAAUCAACGUAAUUUGUUUGCCCUCGAAAGAGGCAAUUAAAGUUCAUCAAUUCAUUGAAUAGUAAACAACACAAUCACACUAAACAAAAUCGCAUCACGACAAAAAAAAGUUGACAAUUGUGAAACUAAGUUAACGCCUUUAAAUUUCUUAUUGCGUGGAUUUUUAAACGUCAAUCAUUGUCAGUUGUGCCAGAAAAAGUGGAGAAGUGGAAGAGAACGCGAACCUCCACCAAGCGAAUGGAUUAUUCAAAGAAGGGAGGAGGCGCUGCAACGCCAACACUUGAUAAGCCGUCUAUUCUGGAAGGUAAUUGAA
rnacentral:sRNA from 14 species